rnacentral:rRNA from 1 species
CCUACGGGAGGCACCAGUGGGGAAUAUUGGACAAUGGGCGCAAGCCUGAUCCAGCCAUGCCGCGUGAGUGAUGAAGGCCUUAGGGUUGUAAAGCUCUUUUAGUGGGGAAGAUAAUGACGGUACCCACAGAAAAAGCCCCGGCUAACUUCGUGCCAGCAGCCGCGGUAAUACGAAGGGGGCUAGCGAUGUUCGGAUCCACUGGGCGUAAAGCGCACGUAGGCGGAUCGUUAAGUCGGGGGUGAAAUCCUGGAGCUCAACUCCAGAACUGCCUUCGAUACUGGUGAUCUUGAGUCCGGAAGAGGUGAGUGGAACUCCUAGUGUAGAGGUGGAAUUCGUAGAUAUUAGGAAGAACACCAGUGGCGAAGGCGGCUCACUGGUCCGGUACUGACGCUGAGGUGCGAAAGCGUGGGGAGCAAACAGGAUUAGAUACCCCUGUAGUC